rnacentral:lncRNA from 1 species
CUUCCUUCAAUUGGGCUCAAAAUUGGGCCAUCACUUAUAAUCUUUUGGGAUUUCCUUUAAUGCUUAAUUGAUUUACUAAUUGUCCAACAUAUCCCUCCCACUUGGGCUAAAAGUUGGGCCACUCAAUUAAUGUAUUGGUUGGGCCUCUAAUCAAUUUCAUUGGGCCAACACUUGGGCUAUAAAAUAUACAUAGUCCAAUACCUUAAAUUAUUAUCCAACCCAAAUAAUUUAAUUAGGGUUUUCUCUUCUUAUUUAAAACACAAAUUCUUAUUCAUGCACAUUUAUUUCCUUAACCCAAUUAGACUUGCUAUAAUGAGGUUAUAAAAUUAAUUAAUCGAGAUAUAUAAAAUAAAUCUCUUAGAAUUAGUAUAUAUCUAAAUACUAUUAUUUCUCCCAACUCAUAACUCUUAAGUUAUUCAAUCAUUCAUUCUUAAUAUAUAAUUAGGAUUACAUUAGUUUAUUUUAUUUGUUUAUAUAAUAAACAAACAAACACAUAAUAUUCAUAUUCGUUACACACAUAACUUUUAAUCCCUUAGGGUUUUAUACAAAACAUUAGGAUUUCUAAUUUAACAAUUAGGGUUAUCCCUAAUAUAUAAUCACAAAUACUUAAGCCAUUAUAUUUAGCCUUUGACUUCCCAAAUUAGGGUUUCAAAUACCGAAUUAGGGUUUCGGAUUCCCGGUACUGAAAUUAGGAUUUCCAGAACCGAUUUCUAAGGUUUUUUAUAAAUCGUAAUAAUUUUAUAACUGAACGUUGACGUUCUAAAUAAUAUUAGGGUUUGACACAGAUAUAAUUUAUAUGGUCAACACUUGACCCUUAUCCACAUUCUGUACACAUAAUACCGUAAUCACAGAAUAUAUACUCUUAUACCCUUAAUCCUGAAUAAUUCAUUAAAAGAAAUUUUAAAUCCUC